rnacentral:rRNA from 1 species
GGGAAUACGACUGCACUCCCAACCCAAUGUGAACGUUACCAAACUGUUGCCUCGGCGGGAUCUCUGCCCCGGGUGCGUCGCAGCCCCGGACCAAGGCGCCCGCCGGAGGACCAACCAAAACUCUUAUUGUAUACCCCCUCGCGGGUUUUUUUUUAUAAUCUGAGCCUUCUCGGCGCCUCUCGUAGGCGUUUCGAAAAUGAAUCAAAACUUUCAACAACGGAUCUCUUGGUUCUGGCAUCGAUGAAGAACGCAGCGAAAUGCGAUAAGUAAUGUGAAUUGCAGAAUUCAGUGAAUCAUCGAAUCUUUGAACGCACAUUGCGCCCGCCAGUAUUCUGGCGGGCAUGCCUGUCCGAGCGUCAUUUCAACCCUCGAACCCCUCCGGGGGGUCGGCGUUGGGGAUCGGCCCUGCCUUGGCGGUGGCCGUCUCCGAAAUACAGUGGCGGUCUCGCCGCAGCCUCUCCUGCGCAGUAGUUUGCACACUCGCAUCGGGAGCGCGGCGCGUCCACAGCCGUUAAACACCCAACUUCUGAAAUGUUGACCUCGGAUCAGGUAGGAAUACCCGCUGAACUUAAGCAUAUCAAUAAGCCGGAGGAA